rnacentral:hammerhead_ribozyme from 1 species
UUCAGCUGACGAGUCCAAAAUAGGAUGAAGUGUCGCGCGUCCUGGAA